CUGCCCCACGGCGAGGUGGUGCUGGCCUUCGAUGCCGAGCGAUUCCGGAGGGAGGUUCGGGAGCACCGGGAAGGGGCCCCACGGCCGGAGGCGAGCGUGAGCCUGGAGCUGGGAGAGGACCCCGGAGCAGGGAUCUGCAUCCAGCUGACCCAGGCCUUCGCCCAGCCCCUCCUGGACCAGCCCCAUUGACCCCGCCCCCUCGCUCCUCAUUGGCCGAC